CCCCAAAAUGCCCAAAGUUUUCAAUAAGCAAUCCGUGUUAAGGCAAAAAUGAAGAUGAUUGAAGAAACCCACAACACACAGGCGGCCGAGGCCCCGAGAAAGUUGCCCCAACGCCACACCAAGAACACACAGAUAGCAGAGGCUCAGCUCAAGGGUUUCUUUCAAAUGGGGUGUAAAAGGAAGUGUAGAAGAUAAGCACGCCAUCUGAAAACGAAAGCAAGAAUGACAGAAUCGAAAAGGAAAACAAAACCCAUCUCAUAUUUGAGGUACCCUUUGAUGUGUCCUUUAUCCUGAACAACCUUCCAAGCAAAGCUAGCUGGUCAUACGAGUCCGUACAAUGAUUUGUCUCUUGAGUUCCUUUCUUUUCUUUUCCUUCCUAUGGAGAAAUGCUUGGUUCCCAUUUCCUCUUUGUUGGGAGUUUCUUAGCCAUUGAUAUCUUAGCAACAACAGUUUGAGAACGGUGUUAUUACAAUCACAAAGCCAUGCAGGUUGGAAGAAACACGAGAAUCUUGAAGUUUAUGGAGAAGUUUAUGGAGGAGAAGAAUCGCACCGCCCCAAUCGAGAAGAAUCACGCUUGUGGGCGUGGCCCAGGGAUUCUCGUCUUCUUUCACUGGACAAAAUCGCUUAUUGUUCGGUCCAGGCACGACCAGACCAAUGCACCCUUUCAUUUCUUUGUCCCUGUGAAUGAUCGUCAACCAAGUAACGAACGAAGUCGACCAUUUUUUGUUGCA